rnacentral:tRNA from 1 species
GGAUGUAGCUCAGGGGCAGAGCACUUGCCUUCCAAGCACAAAACCCUGGGUUCAAUCCCUAGUACAGCCA